rnacentral:rRNA from 1 species
GAUGAACGCUAGCGGCAGGCCUAAUACAUGCAAGUCGAGCGGCAAGUUGAGAAGCAAUUCGAGACCUAGAGCGGCGUACGGGUGCGUAACGCGUAUGCAACCUACCUCAUACAGGGGGAUAGCCCGGAGAAAUCUGGAUUAAUACCCCAUAGUACAACGCGAGGGCAUCUGAGUGUUGUUAAAGAUUCAUCGGUAUGAGAUGGGCAUGCGUCUGAUUAGCUAGUUGGCGGUGUAACGGACCACCAAGGCGACGAUCAGUAGGGGUUCUGAGAGGAAGGUCCCCCACACUGACACUGAGAUACGGGCCAGACUCCUACGGGAGGCAGCAGUAGGGAAUAUUGGGCAAUGGUCGGAAGACUGACCCAGCCAUGCCGCGUGCAGGAAGAAGGCGUUCUGCGUUGUAAACUGCUUUUAUCUGGGAAGAAAAGGCCCAUGCGUGGGACAUUGCCGGUACCAGAUGAAUAAGCACCGGCUAACUCCGUGCCAGCAGCCGCAGUAAAAC